GUGCAAAACGCUGCCUCGAUAUCCUUGGGGCUGUGGCUUCACUUUGCCUGAGAUCCUGCAGCCUGGGGGUCUGGGCGGAGCCGUGCUUGUCUCUUGUGAAGCUCCCUGCCCAGCUCUGUGCCUGGUGAUGGUAGCUGCUCUAUGAAUGAAGGAAGGAGGGAAGGGGGUGGAUUUGGCAGUAUCCUGAGUCCUCCUUUCUUCCCCCAGCUGGUGCCCCUGGGUGAACUGACCAAGCACAGCACAUCAGCGGUGGAUCUAUCCACCUGCUUUGCCCAGAUCAGCCACACUGCCCGGCAGCUGGACUGGCCAGACCCAGAGGAGGCCUUCAUGAUUACCGUCAAGUUUGUGGAGGACACCUGUCGCCUGGCCCUGGUGUACUGCAGCCUUAUAAAGGCCCGGGCCCGCGAGCUCUCUUCAGGCCAGAAGGACCAAGGCCAGGCAGCCAACAUGCUGUGUGUGGUGGUGAAUGACAUGGAGCAGCUGCGGCUGGUGAUCGGCAAGUUGCCUGCCCAGCUGGCAUGGGAGGCCCUGGAGCAGCGGGUAGGGGCCGUGCUGGAGCAGGGGCAGCUGCAGAACACGCUGCAUGCCCAGCUGCAGAGUGCGCUGGCCGGGCUGGGCCAUGAGAUCCGCACUGGCGUCCGCACCCUGGCCGAGCAG
rnacentral:sRNA from 1 species